rnacentral:rRNA from 1 species
UACGGGGGGAGCAAGCGUUGUUCGGAUUUACUGGGCGUAAAGGGCUCGUAGGCGGCCAACUAAGUCAUACGUGAAAUCCCUCGGCUUAACCGGGGAACUGCGUCUGAUACUGGAUGGCUUGAGUUCGGGAGAGGGAUGCGGAAUUCCAGGUGUAGCGGUGAAAUGCGUAGAUAUCUGGAGGAACACCGGUGGCGAAGGCGGCAUCCUGGACCGAUACUGACGCUGAGGAGCGAAAGCCAGGGGAGCAAACAGG